UCUUGGUUUGUUGGAUAAUCCCGAAAAGAGACUCAGCAACCUGACCCAACUCUCAGCUGCACAGCUCAGUGUAUUCAGACGCGCAAGUGUAUUUUUGACAUAAGAAACGUAAAUAUUAACUUAGAUUUUUUUCAGAUCCAGGAUUGUUUAACGAAAAUAACAGAGAGGCAUGCAGUUCUUUCCAGCCCUGAGGUGUCCCACAGUCCAACUCUUCAAUGGUCUGGAAAUCCCAGUACUUGGAUUAGGUACAUCUCAUCGAGGCGGAUACUCACAUGAUGCCAUCCUGUACGCGCUCACUGAAUGUGGUAUUCGCCACCUUGACACAGCAAAGCGGUAUGGCUGUGAGAAGAAGCUGGGCAAAGCUAUCAAAGAGAGUGGGCUCCAACGAAGUGAACUAUGGCUCACUAAUAAACUCUGGCCUGGGGACUAUGGAUACAAAGCUGCAAAAGAAGCCUGUCUGGACUCCUGCACAGCAAUGGGGGUUGAAUAUUUUGAUCUGUACCUGAUGCAUUGGCCGGAGCCAUUUAAACCUGGUGGUUCUAACAGAGAGAUCAGAGCUGACACAUGGAAAGCUCUGGAGGACCUUUACAAAGAAGGGAUUUGUCGUGCUAUUGGGGUGAGUAAUUUUGUGGUCCACCACCUGGAGCAGUUGAAGGAAGACUGUAGUGUUGUGCCACAUGUUAACCAGGUGGAGUAUCAUCCUUUCCAACAGCCCAAACACCUGAUGGAGUAUUGUCGGAACAAUGGGAUAGUGUUUGAAGGCUUCAGUCCCCUGGCCAAGGGUCAAGCCCUCAGCGAUCCUGUCGUGCAACAAAUAGCAAAAAAGCACGGACGAACGACUGCUCAGAUCUGCCUUCGCUGGAGUAUUCAGAAUGGAGUUGUCACUAUUCCAAAGUCCAUCAAAAAGAACAGGAUACAGGAAAACUGCCAAGUGUUUGGGUUCCAACUUGAUGAGGAAGACAUGGUUGCUUUAGGAAAUCUACAUGAUGGACGGCACAUAAGUUGGGAUCCUACAAAUGUGGAUUAAAAUUUACCAGGAAAAACAAAAGGAAGAAAAAUCCUGGUAAUAACUUUGUGAGUGACAGGUCUAAUGCUCCUUGAACAAAUAAUGUAAAAAGAGCAUUACAGAGGAAAUGAAAGCUAAUCUGUCAGAAGAAACAUCCUGGUUAUUGUCACUGGAGCGGUAGUGGGGCGAGGGGGAGAGAAGACCCAAACCUGUUCUAAAAUCUCAACACUACGACCAGGUACAGCACAAUUAAAGGGGAGUAACCAAAACAAAAACAAAAAAAGAAAGAAAAAAGAAAUUAAAAAAAUACAAAGAAAAAUGAGGGUACGUUUCCUACAAUACAAUCUAUCACACACGAAAAAACAUCUCCAUAUAAAUUUUUCCAAAGUUACAGAUUUUUGUCUUCUUCGGAAGCAUAUUCUAUAAAGAACAACUUUGUUUGAACACAAAAGAUUUAAGUGAACACACAUCAAUGCACACAGAGGUCCUUCGUCUGGGAAAGGAUAAAGUCUGUGUUGGCAACCAGUGGACAGAAAAACAAAUAAAAAAACAAACAAAAAAGAACAACAUUUAGCUGAUUCUAAGUAGAGAUCAUUUAAUAUAAAUGCUGAGCAAGUAGAGUAAGAGGUGGCACAUUAAUAGUGCUUUAGUAUAUUAAUGUAUGUAUACAUACUCAUAUGUAUAAGUGAGCUGUGUACCUAAACAAUAAAUGUAGCAAGGAGCAGCCCGAGGCUUUUAAGUGUGGAUGGAGAGAAAACAAAAUAGCAACCCUUGUGCUGACAAAUUGAAAGAGGCGCCCUACAAUACCUGAUGUUUAUGCCUUGAACUGACUCAUCAGUAAUCAGGGAUUUGUCCGACAGUUUAUAAGCAAAAUGAGGGCUCAAUACAACAACUUGACUCAGAGCAACUCUUUAUCUUUUUAACCGUUCGAGCACAUGAACUCAUGCUAAUUGUUUACAGAAGGCAGAGAGCUCUGUGUAGAGAAUCAGUGGUAAACAGUUCAUCUGUUAAAGAAAGAGCUAUCGCAGUAGUAAUGGUGGUGAUGAAGACAGCACGGGACGGUAGAACCAAUAUUGAAUUGACUUUUUGGUCAGUUGUCGUAAAUGCACUUCAGGACAGUUUGGAAGAAGAAGCAGAUUUGCCUCUUCAGUAACUAACACUGCUGUUCUUCAAGCUGUAAACAGGUUUUGCGAAUCCAUUGUUGAGCCUCGACAACAGGAAGAUUUCCCAGGAUUAGCAGAAAAUGCAAAUAGUCUAAAGAAAGGAGGACACAUUUUCAGCAAUGCUUCAUUGCUAAAGUUUUCAGGAGAUAAGCUGCACCGCCCCAAAAUUGCAACAAUGUAAAGCAAACAAUCAAAAUUAAGCAA